UUUCUUUAUUCAAUGGCGUCUGGCACUUUGGAGAGGUGUUCUCUUCACAGAUGAACCCUAACCCUAACCCUAACACCAGAUACUGACUGGUUUUCGGACCCCCCAAUACAGUAAAACUGCACAUUUUAG